CUACGGGUCGCUCCAGUGAGGAAUAUUGCACAAUGGGGGGAACCCUGAUGCAGCAACGCCGCGUGGAGGAUGACGCAUUUCGGUGUGUAAACUCCUUUUAUAUGUCAAGAAAAUGACGGUAGCAUAUGAAUAAGCACCGUGCUAACUCCGUGCCAGCAGCCGCGGUAAUACGGAGGGUGCAAGCGUUACUCGGAAUCACUGGGCGUAAAGGACGCGUAGGCGGGUUGGAAAGUCAGGUGUGAAAUCCUACAGCGUAACUGUAGAACUGCACUUGAAACUUCUAAUCUAGAGUAUGGGAGGGGGAGAGUGAAUUAGUGGUGUAGGGUUAAAAUCCGUAGAUAUCACUAGGAAUACCUAAAGCGAAGGCGAUCUCCUGGAACAUUACUGACGCUAAGGCGUGAAAGCGUGGGGAGCAAACAGGAUUAGAUACCCGGGUAGUC
rnacentral:rRNA from 1 species